rnacentral:rRNA from 1 species
GACGAACGCUGGCGGCGUGCUUAACACAUGCAAGUCGAACGGAGAUAAGUUGAAAGCUUGCUGGAUACUUAUCUUAGUGGCGGACGGGCGAGUAACGCGUGAGCAACCUGCCCCAAACUGGGGGAUAACGUCGGGAAACCGGCGCUAAUACCGCAUAACACUACGAAGCCGCAUGGUUUUGUAGUCAAAGCUCCGGCGGUUUGGGAUGGGCUCGCGUCCGAUUAGCUAGUUGGCGGGGUAAAGGCCCACCAAGGCGACGAUCGGUAGCCGGACUGAGAGGUUGGCCGGCCGCAUUGGGACUGAGACACGGCCCAGACUCCUACGGGAGGCAGCAGUGGGGAAUAUUGCGCAAUGGAGGAAACUCUGACGCAGCAACGCCGCGUGAAGGAAGAAGGCCUUCGGGUUGUAAACUUCUUUGAUCGGGGACGAAAGAUGACGGUACCCGAGGAACAAGCCACGGCUAACUACGUG